GAUGAAGAACGUAGCGAAAUGCGAUAAGUAAUGUGAAUUGCAGAAUUCAGUGAAUCAUCGAAUCUUUGAACGCACCUUGCGCCCUUUGGCCAUUCCGAAGGGCAUGCCUGUUUGAGUAUCAUGAACACCUCAACUCUUUAUGGUUUUCCAUGAUGAGCUUGGACUUUGGGGGUUUUGCUGGCCUAUGGUCGGCUCCUCUAAAAUAAAUCAGCUUACCGGUGUUUGGUGGGUAUCAUGGGUGUGAUAACUAUCUACGCUUGUGGUUUUUCCACCAGGUAACCUUCGACAGCGGAGGUUCACUGGAGCUCAUAGAUGUCUCUCCUCAGCGAGGACAGCCCUUUGAAUGUUUGAUCUCAAAUCAGGUAGGACCACCCGCUGAACUUAAGCAUAUCAAUAAGCGGAGGA
rnacentral:misc_RNA from 1 species